UGGACAGAUUAUUGUAUUCGACUGUAUUCAUGGCGUGAAACAGGGGAUUACACUAUUUUUAAACGAAAAGUGAAUCAAUUAACAUAAUAGAUUCCU
rnacentral:pre_miRNA from 1 species